rnacentral:lncRNA from 1 species
CUCCUUACCUUCCACUGUAGCCACUGUGUUCAAGGGACAGUGACAGUAGUUGCUGGGGAAAGGCUGACUGGUGUCCACAGAACAAGUCAUCCUAUCCACUUGAUAAUUCGAAUUCUCUGCUGAGGUAACCCUUUUGCAAGUAUUCAUAUGGGUCACAAAUAUUUUCACAUCGUUUGCCUGUUCAGAGGGGUCUGUCUACGUACUCUUCCCCAGGUGUCCACGUGUAUUAGUUGGCUGGUGCUGCCAGAACAAAAUACCAUAGAUGGGUGGCUUCAACAACAGAACCUUAUUUCUCACAGUUCUGGAAAAUAGAAGCUUAAGGUCAGAUGUUAGCAUUUUUGCUUCUGAGGCUUCUUUCUUUGGUCUGCAGAUGAUGCCUUCUCACCGUGCCUGCCCGUGAUCUUUCCUGUUUAUGCACUUCCCUCAUGUCUCUUGUGUGUGUCCACAUUUCUUCUUAUAAGUAUACCAGCCUGACUGGGUCAGGUCCACCCUAAUAGUCUCACUUUGAGUCAUUCACCUCUUUAAAGGUUUCAUGUCCAAAUGGAGUCACAUUUUGUAAUACGUGAGUUAGGGCUUCAAUGUACAAAUUUCGAGAGGACAAAACUCAUCCCAUAAUAUAUUGUCACUAGUUUUCCAUCCAGAUUCCUUCUAAAUUCCCAACCAUCCAGCCAAACCAUUGGACACAGCC